AGCCUGUCCACUUUCAUUCAACGUUCGAAUAUAGUCAACAUAGGAGGCCACCAAACUUUUAAAAAGUCUAAUUUUCCUACACAAGGAAAAAAAAAAAAGGAGCAAAGAAUUUUUUAUUGACAACAAUGGCAGGUUUUGUCACCCCCACUUAGUGCAAUACUUCCUCUUUUCACGCCUCAAUCCUGUCGUCUUCUUCAUCUCUCUCCCUUCCCCAUUUCCUCUGGUCCCCUCUUUCCCCUCCAUUUUCAGAAAAUCUCUCACGCUCCAUUCACUCCUUCCUUCCCCCCGCUCAUACGCUCCUCUCUCUCAUAUUUUUCUAUAAGAGGUGGAUUUUGAUUCAAAUAAGGGGGACUUUUCAGGUUUUUUUUUAGAGAGAUUUUCAGUGAACAAAAAUAAAAAAAUAAGAAAAAUUUCGAUUUCUCCUUUCCGGUGAACUUUAGCCGGAAAUUAAUCAACAUUUUCAGAGAUCCAACUAUAUUCCAAGCUUGAUUUUCCUUUUUCCGGUGAACUUUAGCCGCGACGAGUGUAGUCGAUUCACAACUCUAGCUUCAAAUUUGUUCGGGUGUAAAAGAGUAGAUCGAGACUCAGAUCCCUUGUUCACUGCACCCACAAAAGGUAUGCAUUUGCAUCGGAGUACAACAAAUGACGAAGAUCAAGGGCAUCACAAAUGAAGCUAGAAGUUAGGCAUAGAAAUUUUAUUUACUUUAUUUAGAUUAGGAAACACUUUAUGUUGUAUUCAUUUGACAUGUAAUAAAUAUUACAUUAUUUUUUACUUUUGAGAAAUAGAAUCUGUUUAAUUAAUCAAAGCAACGGGAUGACAUAUUAUGGCA